rnacentral:rRNA from 1 species
GGCCUACACAUGCAGUCGAGCGGUAGCACAGAGAGCUUGCUCUCGGGUGACGAGCGGCGGACGGGUGAGUAAUGUCUGGGAAACUGCCUGAUGGAGGGGGAUAACUACUGGAAACGGUAGCUAAUACCGCAUAAUGUCGCAAGACCAAAGAGGGGGACCUUCGGGCCUCUUGCCAUCAGAUGUGCCCAGAUGGGAUUAGCUAGUAGGUGGGGUAACGGCUCACCUAGGCGACGAUCCCUAGCUGGUCUGAGAGGAUGACCAGCCACACUGGAACUGAGACACGGUCCAGACUCCUACGGGAGGCAGCAGUGGGGAAUAUUGCACAAUGGGCGCAAGCCUGAUGCAGCCAUGCCGCGUGUAUGAAGAAGGCCUUCGGGUUGUAAAGUACUUUCAGCGGGGAGGAAGGUGUUGAGGUUAAUAACCUCAGCAAUUGACGUUACCCGCAGAAGAAGCACCGGCUAACUCCGUGCCAGCAGCCGCGGUAAUACGGAGGGUGCAAGCGUUAAUCGGAAUUACUGGGCGUAAAGCGCACGCAGGCGGUCUGUCAAGUCGGAUGUGAAAUCCCCGGGCUCAACCUGGGAACUGCAUUCGAAACUGGCAGGCUAGAGUCUUGUAGAGGGGGGUAGAAUUCCAGGUGUAGCGGUGAAAUGCGUAGAGAUCUGGAGGAAUACCGGUGGCGAAGGCGGCCCCCUGGACAAAGACUGACGCUCAGGUGCGAAAGCGUGGGGAGCAAACAGGAUUAGAUACCCUGGUAGUCCACGCCGUAAACGAUGUCGACUUGGAGGUUGUGCCCUUGAGGCGUGGCUUCCGGAGCUAACGCGUUAAGUCGACCGCCUGGGGAGUACGGCCGCAAGGUUAAAACUCAAAUGAAUUGACGGGGGCCCGCACAAGCGGUGGAGCAUGUGGUUUAAUUCGAUGCAACGCGAAGAACCUUACCUACUCUUGACAUCCAGAGAACUUUCCAGAGAUGGAUUGGUGCCUUCGGGAACUCUGAGACAGGUGCUGCAUGGCUGUCGUCAGCUCGUGUUGUGAAAUGUUGGGUUAAGUCCCGCAACGAGCGCAACCCUUAUCCUUUGUUGCCAGCGGUCCGGCCGGGAACUCAAAGGAGACUGCCAGUGAUAAACUGGAGGAAGGUGGGGAUGACGUCAAGUCAUCAUGGCCCUUACGAGUAGGGCUACACACGUGCUACAAUGGCGCAUACAAAGAGAAGCGACCUCGCGAGAGCAAGCGGACCUCAUAAAGUGCGUCGUAGUCCGGAUUGGAGUCUGCAACUCGACUCCAUGAAGUCGGAAUCGCUAGUAAUCGUAGAUCAGAAUGCUACGGUGAAUACGUUCCCGGGCCUUGUACACACCGCCCGUCACACCAUGGGAGUGGGUUGCAAAAGAAGUAGGUAGCUUAACCUUCGGGAGGGCGCUACCACUUUGGA